AAAAUUAAACCUUCUUCCGCGUCUUUGCUCGAGAGUUUGCAGUAUGCCCCCCUCACACGUAUCACCACGGAGGGCAAGUCUGGUGCCAGCAGCCGCGGUAAUUCCAGCUCCAAUAGCGUAUAUUAAAGUUGUUGCAGUUAAAAAGCUCGUAGUUGGAUUUCUGUUAAUAAUUUAUAUAAAAUAUUUUGAUGAAUAUUUAUAUAAUAUUAACAUAAUUCAUAUUACUAUAUAUUUUAGUAUAUGAAAUUUUACUUUGAGAAAAUUAGAGUGCUUAAAGCAGGCAUAUGCCUUGAAUACUCCAGCAUGGAAUAAUAUUAAAGAUUUUUAUCUUUCUUAUUGGUUCUAAGAUAAGAAUAAUGAUUAAUAGGGACAGUUGGGGGCAUUUGUAUUUAACAGUCAGAGGUGAAAUUCUUAGAUUUGUUAAAGACAAACUAAUGCGAAAGCAUUUGCCAAGGAUGUUUUCAUUAAUCAAGAACGAAAGUUAGGGGAUCGAAGACGAUCAGAUACCGUCGUAGUCUUAACCAUAAACUAUGCCAACUAGAGAUUGGAGGUUGUUCCUUACUCCUUGAA
rnacentral:rRNA from 1 species